CGGAGUGGGUCGCGUCGCCCGCCGCCUGCCUCAGUCCAUCGGCGAUGAUGGAGGAUGUACACACCCUGCAGUAGCGGAAGUAACUUUAUACAGUGUUUGUUGUGUUGAGGUUCUUGCAUGUGGUCUUGAAUGAGAACAGGCUAACAUAGGACUGUGGCGUCAUCUCGAGUGGAAUUCUUGGUUGUUGGGCAGGUGCGAGGCGAGGAAGGAAGCAAGUUCUGGGAGUGACUUCGCGGCUUGCAAUUAAUUAAGAGGUGAGUGUUGGUGGUCCGUCUGCUUCUGAAUCCUGCCGUCCGUUCCUUCUCGUUAUCCGGGUUAAGAGGUAAAGUGUACAUAGUGAUUAGUAUUAUCAUCAGAACUUGUGUAUUUUUUUUCCUAACACGCUAUACUAUCGCCACCACCACCACCACCACCACCACUACUACUACUACUACUACUACUACUACUACUACUACUACUACUACUACUACUACUACUACUUUGGCUUCCCCACACACUGUUCGUUGUCCUCUCCGUUCUCUUCUUCCUGCUCUACUUUCUCCUCCACCUCUACCUGUCUGUUUAUCUGUACGCGUGUCUGUCUGUUUGUCUGUCUGACUGAGUUUGCGAAGGGUAGGGUUAUUGAGGAGAGGUGGACAAAAUUGGUCUGGUAUAUUAGUAUGGACCAAGGCAAGACAAGGAGAAUAGAAAUAUGAAUAAAGGCAAUGGAAGACAAGUGAUUCAGGGAAGGUUUCUUUUUGUUAUUAACUGCCUCUUCUCGGUGAAAAAAAAUAAAAUAAAUAAAAGAAUAAAAGGACUAAGAGCUGUAAGAAGUGCAAAGUCGAUUUCACUCCAGAAGUGUCCUUGUAAUCAUCUUCUGAAAAGCGUCAAGUGGGAAGAUGAUGAAGAAGACGAAGUAAAAAAAAAAAAAGAAAAAAAAAAAAGAAAAAGAAAACCAACCUGAGCUUUCUACAUUAAACAGAAAAGUGAGGCCGCAAUAAUUUUCCCGCAGUGACAUUUAUGGACACGCUGCAUUUCCCCUUUCUUCAUGAACAAAAAAGGCUCCCCCGUCAGCUAGUAACCACAACAGGCGAUGCGGUGCGAGGCGGGGAAUCAAGUCUUGGCAGCACCGCAUCGAAAUGUAGACCGUGGCGGUGAUGUGGCGGGAAAGGCUCUGCGUCCCGCUUGUUUGUUCCCUCGUGUGCUGGCGUGGCGGCGGCUGUUAGCUCACGACUUCCCGCGGCUGUGACGUCAUUGAAAAACACUUUAUGCUGCAGGGAGGGAUGGAGGGAAGGGAGAGACGAGAGAGGAGGAAAGGGAGCAGGGAGAGGGGUAUGCAGGAGGGAGGGAGAAGGGAGAGAAGAUAGCAGAAAAAAGGCAGAAGGGAGGGAAUGCAGGGUUGAGAGGAGAGACGGUAGGAGGGCUAUGCAGGAGGGAGGGAAGGGAAGGGAGAGAUGCAGCAGGGAGAGUAUGUAGGAGGGAGGUAAGGAAGAGCAAAGAGAGAGGCAGCAGGGAGGGUAUGUAGGAAGGGAGAGAGAGAGAGAGAGAGAGAGAGAGAGAGAGAGAGAGAGAGAGAGAGAGAGAGAGAGAGGCAGCAGGAGGGAGAGAGGGAUGUUAGGAAAGGGAGAGUAUACAGAGAGGGAGGAAAUAACAGUGGUGAGAUAUAUUUUUAGUCAAAGUAAAUAAAGAACAAGGAAGAAAAAGCAAAAAAA